rnacentral:rRNA from 1 species
ACUCCUACGGGAGGCAGCAGUAGGGAAUCUUCCACAAUGGGCGCAAGCCUGAUGGAGCAACACCGCGUGAGUGAAGAAGGGUUUCGGCUCGUAAAGCUCUGUUGUUAAAGAAGAACACGUAUGAGAGUAACUGUUCAUACGUUGACGGUAUUUAACCAGAAAGUCACGGCUAACUACGUGCCAGCAGCCGCGGUAAUACGUAGGUGGCAAGCGUUAUCCGGAUUUAUUGGGCGUAAAGAGAGUGCAGGCGGUUUUCUAAGUCUGAUGUGAAAGCCUUCGGCUUAACCGGAGAAGUGCAUCGGAAACUGGAUAACUUGAGUGCAGAAGAGGGUAGUGGAACUCCAUGUGUAGCGGUGGAAUGCGUAGAUAUAUGGAAGAACACCAGUGGCGAAGGCGGCUACCUGGUCUGCAACUGACGCUGAGACUCGAAAGCAUGGGUAGCGAACAGGAUUAGAUACCCUGGUAGCCCGAUG